GACGAACGCUGGCGGCGUGCUUAACACACGCAAGUCGAACGGAAAGGCCCUGCUUUUGUGGGGUGCUCGAGUGGCGAACGGGUGAGUAACACGUGAGUAACCUGCCCUUGACUUUGGGAUAACUUCAGGAAACUGGGGCUAAUACCGUAUAGGAGCUCCUGCUGCAUGGUGGGGGUUGGAAAGUUUCGGCGGUUGGGGAUGGACUCGCGGCUUAUCAGCUUGUUGGUGGGGUAGUGGCUUACCAAGGCUUUGACGGGUAGCCGGCCUGAGAGGGUGACCGGGCACAUUGGGACUGAGAGAGGGCCCAGACUCGUACGGGAGGCAGCAGUGGGGAAUAUUGUACAAUGGGCGGAAGCCUGAUGCAGCAACGCCGCGUGCGGGAUGACGGCCUUCGGGUUGUAAACCGCUUUAGCCUGUGACGAAGCGUGAGUGACGGUAAUGGGUAAAGAAGCACCGGCUAACUACGUG
rnacentral:rRNA from 1 species